AUUGCAGUACCUGGAAUUAAGUUGACUGUGCAGCCUUUUUAAAGCAUGGCUUCAGCUCAGCAAUAUUAAGUCAGCAACUUGAUUCCAGCAAUUGCGAUUG
rnacentral:pre_miRNA from 1 species